UGUUUUGUCGCCCGUUGUCGUCUUUUUCAUUUUGAAAUCUUUUUGGCCCUGGCUCUGUCGUUGGCUGUUAAGGUGGAUCUCACAGAGCGGUGUCAGCCUUGAGAAAUAAUUAACGAGAGACAGAGAAGAACGGGUGGUGGAAGAGAGGAGCGGCGCCUCCCGUCGCUGUCAAGCUCGACCUAUGGCGAGAACCAGAGACAGCGGGUGCAAGCGUGUUCGUCUCCGAGGGUAUGUUCUGGCGCAGCUUCUCCCGUUACUCCCUUGUCUCGUCGUGGAUUUGGAGGUGGGAUUUGGGGGUUGUGAGUGAUUUGAGUUUGUGGGGGUCAUCGAGAAUCAGGUAGGGGGCGCGAUUCUUGUCCCGUCAGUACAUGCUCAGUAUAGCCAGGGGGCGCGUUCGCGGGGGCGACCGGCGACGGAGGGAGCGGUGGUCCGUGAAACAUGGCGACCAACGGCGAAGGGAGCCAUGGCUGGCGAGCUUGCUCGAGCUCCGACGGGGAAAGCGGCUAUUCGCGAGCGCGGAAAGCUUGGUCGUUGGUCGCGAGUCGGGUACUCUUUGCUUGUUCCUCUGCUCAUUUUGUGCUAUGAUUUCAUCUUCUAUUAGCUCGCAUGUGUGAUUGUUUAGUUCAGGCUCGGUCGCCGUGAGAUCUACGAAAUCAGUGACAUAUUUUUCUUCGGUUGGGGUAGCUCGUAUUUUGAUUUGGCGCCUGCUGUUGUAUGGGAAGGUAGGUAGCACGCUCGUGCAAUCCUGCCCUCUUGUGUGUGGAUGGAAGAGAACGUAAUAGUCAAGGGAUUUUCCACUCGAUUUUCAUGUAAGGUUCUGAGAAUUGUUUCUAGCAUAAGUUGUGACUGAAGCAUCUGCAUCUUGUUAACUGGCGAUGUGCUUAGGUUCUAGCAUAUAUAAGUUGUGAUUGAAGCACCUGCACCUGCAUCUUGUUUCAGUAUCACUCUUAUCCUUCUCAUGUUUAGUUAUAUUUUAUCACUCUUCCUUUCAUUCUUCAGUUAUUUAUUUUUUCAGUUUAGUCUGUCAUUAUUCGUUUUUCAGUUCAUUGUUAGUCUCUUUCGUCAGUGUUGAUUUUUAGUAAGUCAUUCUUCAUUUUUCAUUUUUUGAUUUGAUCUCUUUUCAUUGUUAGUCAUAUUGUUAUUUUUUUCGUGUCCGGAUGAUAGUCAACGACCAACCCGACCAAAAUUCCCCAUUUACCCUACCUCACCUCCUUCCUGCAAGCUCCCUCCUCCAUCUCACCUCCUUCGAUUCUACCUCGUCGGCGGCAAAUAGUCCGGUGGAAAGACAAAUCGAGUGAGGUGGUGGUGGUUUGCGUUCGUCGUCCGACGCCUGGGCAGCCACAACGACAACAGAUGGACGAGCUCGGGGCAGCGGUCAGAGGAUCUGGUUCUGGGAGAUUCGACGGCCAAGAGGGGCUACCCGGCGGCGAGGAGGGCUAGCGUGGCAGGUCUUCGUCGGCGGGCAACUGGUGGCCGCGGAAGGACGCGCUGGCGCUGCUCAAGAUCCAGCCCAAGGUGGACGCCGCGUUCCGAGAGGCCGCGCUCCCCUUGUUGUCUGUGGCGUUUGCCGCCGCGUGCACCAGGUACUCAUCGGAGGAAGGGUAGAGUCGGUAGACUGCGGCCGCCGCUUGGCACGUCAACCGGUACGGGAACACGCCGUAUGCGCUUGAUACGGUACAGUCAGUUGUGCCACCACCGGACGAGCACUGCGCGGGUCCGGUGAUGGGCUAGCGACGGCUCACUCUGGGAGGAAAUGUCCAGGUCACCUUCUCGAGGAUUGUCAAGAGGAAAUCGACGGAGGACUUCUCUGGCGUGCCAUACAACAUGACUGCUGCUCAGCUGCCUCUUACCAACAUGGUGGCAGCAGGGAGAGGCCUGGGUGAAGGGUACUUCUUGUCGACUACAUAGGGCCAAAUUUUCAUCUACGGGUUGCAAAACAAGCGAUGUGUUUUGUUGCAUUAAAAGGACAAUGGUGCAGUUGUAUAUAUGAUGUUCUUUUUUGGGUUUUGCCAAUCGCAUGUGUGAAUGCGUUCUUUACAAGAUUUAUAUUGUAAUUUCUGCCAUGUACUAGCAACGCGCGUCAGAGAAGGCAUGAGAAAGUACCGGAGCUAGGGAUU